AUUCAGCUGACCAGUCUCAAAUAAGACGAAACGCGUGUUCUGAAU
rnacentral:hammerhead_ribozyme from 1 species